rnacentral:miRNA from 1 species
ACUGAUUUCCUCUGGUGUU